rnacentral:lncRNA from 1 species
CAGCAUCUCAGCGUUUAGUCCCAGAGCUUUGAACCGUGUCUGUGGGCAGCUGGGCUUUAUCUGGAUGUAUUCUGUUACCUCCAUUACCGAGAUGCAUCUUAAGCCUGGAGCCCAUCUGGCCCAUCUCGCUUCUUAUCUGAGGAACUGAGUUUUGGGGAAAUUUUCCCAGCUAAUGUUGCACAUUUUCACCCUGGAGAAGUCCUGUUUCCCCCAACACUCCCUUCCCACACAUGGGGAACUUAAGUCAACUGUUAGGUCUCCCUUGCUCCUGAAUGAACUUUUCCUUACCAACAAGGAUGGUUGACCUAUUUUCCUCUCUUGGACACUCCCGGAAGUUCAUGAGACCUAAUCUGGCCCAGCCAUGAACUCUGAAUAUAAAAAC